rnacentral:misc_RNA from 1 species
AAGUCGUAACAAGGUUUCCGUAGGUGAACCUGCGGAAGGAUCAUUAACACGUAUCCAACGUUAAACCCCCCGUGCACACAGAGACCAGCUCCCCUCAUCUCUGGUAAAUCAUCGCCGAACAGUUUUGAUUCAGAGACAUCCAAAGGGCCGGGGUAGGGUAUUGAAGUAGUUGUCCCAUGCAAGCAGCCUGGUUUCUUGGAAGCAGAAAGUGUGAUAGAAGAUGUCGGAGAACGGACCGAGUGGUAGUUCGAAGAUGACUUCUGUCGCGCGCUGUGAAAAAGAAGACGCUUUACGAAUCACUGACCAACACGGCCAGUGACCGGGUUCCUGGGUCCUAGACCCCCUGAUCACCCCGACAGUCGCAGACGCGGGUAGGGAUACGUCCUUACCAAAAAAUAAAUACUUGAACAACUGUUAACAAUGGAUAUCUUGGUUCUC